CCCUCUCAAAAGGUUCUCGACAAAGAACAAAAACCUUCGCAUACUUAGUGGUUGCCAUGGCACGGCCUCACAAUGUUUUUUACAUCAUAGAGGGUGUUACUACAUUCCAUACAUUCUUAAGAGAUCAGAGGGAUAUUUUGGCGUGUAAUAUGGGCUCCACCUCAUGAAGCUGAUGUAUGGAACCACUAUCCACAAUGCUGGGGAAGAAGCAUGUGUUUAGGGUGUGCCACAGUCCGUGGACCCAGAACCCUUCAUCCAUAACCCAUCCUUCCUGCUCCCCCUGUGCUCUGCUAGACUUCCGGGUCCAGCCCCAGAGCAACCCUGCAAGGCCACUCACCGCCCUGUGUAGGAGGAAUGAUGUUCCUUGGCCCUCAGCCCCCCUGCGCCUCCCCCCUCCAGCAGUACCGCACUGCAGCUACACUCCACAACAGGGUUCUCACUGCUUAGAUGCAUGAAAGUCAAAGAGGUAGCUACUGCUGCACAGGCACAUGACUGUCCAGGGACUACGGACAUGAGACUGAAACCACCUUGGGCAAGCAGCAGAAACAGAGCCCCACUCUAAUCUUCAUCUGUCCUCCUACAGUUUCAUUAUAUCUAUUUUACAGAAGAUCCUCUGUACUGUCAGCUUUGGCAUCUAUUGGUUGCCUGUUUAAAUACAUUGUACAUGGUUAAAUGGUCACAAAUGUCAACAUUACUCAAUUGGAUAAAAUAAAAAAAACAUAUAAAAAAAUUCAAAAAUUAAAUAGGCAGG
rnacentral:lncRNA from 1 species